UACAGAGGGUGCGAGCGUUGUCCGGAAUCACUGGGCGGAAAGGGCGCGUAGGUGGCGAGCCAAGUCCAUGGUGAAAGCUCGAUGCUCAACAUCGAGUCGGCCACGGAUACUGGUGCGCUUGAGCACUGUAGAGGCUAAUGGAAUUCCGGGUGUAGCGGUGGAAUGCGUAGAGAUCCGGAAGAACACCGGUGGCGAAGGCGGUUAGCUGGGCAGUUGCUGACACUGAGGCGCGACAGCGUGGGGAGCAAACAGG
rnacentral:rRNA from 1 species